GCACAAAAGGACAUAGUUGGAAGUAGUGAGGGUAUGGCCUCCGCCUCAUUGAGGGUAUGGUCCUUGAGAGCAGGAUGGCAAAACUAAGACUCAUAUAGCCGAUCCCAAAUAGUUGGAAAAAUGCUCUGAUGAUGAUAAUGAUGAUGAUGAUUAUUUUUUUCAAAUAUGUGAAAGUUUAGGAAUCCUUUGGACGUGAGAUAGGAGAUUGUAGUAUGGUUAGAAUUUCUCUUUAAUUUUUCAUAUACAUAUAAGCAUUGGGAAAAUGAAAAGAUAGAGAGAUUUGAAUUAUAUUUUGGGCUUGUGAGGGGUUCUUGUGAGUCAUUUCACUUGCAGUCUCUAAAAGAGCAUAAUGUCUUACAGCCUUUUCUUUUUUUUUCUUUUUAGUUUUAUAACUCUGUCUCUCUCUCGCUCUCCUACCUUCAUCAUUUGGUAUCAAAGCCUAGAGAAUGAUCUGUACAACAUGAGGACAUUGAAACCACAUGCAGAAAAGAUGGAUCCAGUUUGGGAGUGCGUGGCUCAAAUACUCGAGAAAUUGCAAAGGGACAAUUGCGAAAUAAUCAACAGAUUAAGGCAGCACAUGGAACAAGUAACCCAUGAUCACGUGACAGGUCAGGAAUCAAUCCCUAAUCAAAACAAUGACCAAAGGUCACAACAAAUUCAGGUGAAGACUUCCUAUUGGAAUAGAGUGAAGGAGACCGUGAAGGAAAAUUUUUGAAGUCUGUAAGCUUGAGGACGAGCGUCUCCCAACCCUGCCAGAGUGGUGCAAUCAUGGAAUAAGGUGCCACAUGUUCCUGAGGCAAUGAUCGCUGCAUAACGGUGGAUGUAAUUUAUGCAUAUCUGUAAGGCAGCUUCUAAAGGGUCCUUGUUUGAUCAUUGAUAGAGUCAACAACUUGGAAACCCAUGCGCUACGGAGGGGAUAUUGGGACGGUUAUGCAAUGAGUUAGGCCUCAGGGGAGAGAAGAGAGUGGUUUCCUGUCUCGCAAGAUGGUUUUACAAUGAGAUUAGGAAGGGCCUUGUGACUUCGGUGGUGUUGGAGCUCAAUUCAGGCUGAUCAGGUGAGGAGGGCCUCCUGAGUUUCCUGCACCACCCUUCUUGUUUGUACUUGAAGCAAGUUUUCAAAGGAGUUGGUUGUUGAAGUCAUAGUUCUUAGGGACUGGUCUGACAGGCUACAAUCCUUUUUAAGGACUUCCUAAUUUUCUUUUUGUUGAAGGUUGAUAAGUUGUUUUUUACCAUAAAUUGGCUUUGAUUUUUUAAGUUCUAAGAAGAAAAAUAAUCAUGUGAUCUGAAACCUUU